rnacentral:rRNA from 1 species
GGGCUUAAGGGCGCGUAGGCGGCGUGACAAGUCGGGGGUGAAAUCUUUCGGCCCAACCGGAAAAGGGCCCCCGAUACUGGUACGCUGGAGGGAGGUAGGGGCGCGCGGAACUUCCGGUGGAGCGGUGAAAUGCGUAGAUAUCGGAAGGAACGCCGGUGGCGAAAGCGGCGCGCUGGACCUCACCUGACGCUGAGGCGCGAAAGCCAGGGGAGCAAACGGGAUUAGAUACCCCGGUAGUCCUGGCCCUAAACGAUGGGUACUAGGUAGUGGACUUGACAUGGGUUCACUGCCGGAGCAAAAGUGUUAAGUACCCCGCCUGGGGAGUAUGGUCGCAAGGCUGAAACUCAAAGGAAUUGACGGGGGCUCACACAAGCGGUGGAGCAUGUGGCUUAAUUCGAGGCUACGCGAAGAACCUUAUCCUGGGCUUGACAUGUGCGAAAGCGGUGGGAAGUAGGGUGCGGAAACGUUACCCCAACGGUAUCCAGUCCGGAACCCACUACAGGUGCUGCAUGGCUGUCGUCAGCUCGUGUCGUGAGAUGUUGGGUUAAGUCCCGUAACGAGCGAAACCCUUGUUUCCAGUUGCCAGCGGGUCAUGCCGGGGACUCUGGAAAGACUGCCGGUGUUAAACCGGAGGAAGGCGGGGAUGACGUCAAGUCCUCAUGGCCUUUAUGCCCAGGGCUGCACACGUGCUACAAUGGCGUGGACAAAGGGAAGCAAGCCCGCGAGGGGGAGCAAAUCCCAAAAAGCACGCCCCAGUUCAGAUCGAAGCUGCAACUCGCCUUCGUGAGUGGAUCGCUAGUAAUCGCGGGUCAGCACACCGCGGCGAAUGUGUCCUGAGCUUGUACACACCGCCCGUC